rnacentral:lncRNA from 1 species
GUUUUGAAUUGCAUCAAAUGCUUACUUGUGACCUUUUCUCCAGCUUUUUCUUCUCUUAUUAUAUGAUAUGAUUGUAUAUGGCUUUUGUAAUUUUGUUCACUUUUUGACUCCAAUCCAAUAUAUAUAGCACAAGAGCAUUAGAUGAAAAAUAUUUUUUAACAAAACUGUAAAUAUAAAUAAACCAAAUUAUUAUUAUAUUAAUAUUUUAAAUCUCCUUUAAAAUAUAAUUUAACUAAAUUUAAAUACUGUAAGUACAAUUGAACCAAAAUAUAAUUAUAUAUAAAUAUUGUAAAUCUCCUUAUAAAAUAUAAUUUAAAUAAAUCUAAAUACUGUAAGUACAAUCGAACAAAAUUAUAAUUAUAUAAAUAUAUUAAAUUUCCUUUGAAAAUAUAAUUUAACCAAAUCUAAAAGAUAUAAAUAUAAUUGAACUGAAUCAUAAUUACAUAAAUAUUUUAAAUAUCCAUUUAAAAAACUAAAUAGUGAUUGAAUCAAUAAAAAAAAUCACUGUAAAAAAAGUAUUUUUGUUUCCCUUCACAAAUAAGAAGCAAAUAAAAAAUGUUCAGUAGUAAUAGCUAUUUAGUUUGUUCUUGUACCUCAAAAAGACAUUGGUUGCUAUUGACUACAAAAUACUAGAAAGGUUUAGUUUUUUUAAAACUAAAUAUCCAAAAACAAAAUAGAAGGUAAACAUAAAGCUACAACCAUAGGGAAUUAAGACUAACCCCACAAACACAGGGAUGGCAAAAACAACAAACAAAAGCCAAAAAUCCAGAGACCUAAAACGGAUGAAAUCAAAACCAAAUACCAGAAAACACUACAGAGGAAAAAAAAACUCAAAAACCAGCUAAAUCGAACCAAAAACCGUAAUCUCAACUUACCAUA